rnacentral:snRNA from 1 species
GUGCUCGCUUCAGCAGCACAUACUCUAAAAUUGGAAUGCUACAGAGAAGAUUCGCAUGGCCCCUGCGCAAGACAUUUCAAAGCACUGAAAAAUACUUUGUGAAU